AUGAACGCUAGCGACAGGCCUAACACAUGCAAGUCGAGGGGCAGCACAAGGAGCAAUCUGAGGUGGCGACCGGCGCACGGGUGAGUAACACGUAUGCAACCUGCCUGUAAGCGGGGAAUAACCCGUUGAAAGACGGACUAAUACCGCAUAAUACUAAAUUACUGCAUGGUAAUUUAUUUAAACAUUUAUGGCUUACAGAUGGGCAUGCGCAUGAUUAGCUAGUUGGAGAGGUAACGGCUCCCCAAGGCAACGAUCAUUAGGGGUUCUGAGAGGAAGGUCCCCCCACACUGGUACUGAGACACGGACCAGACUCCUACGGGAGGCAGCAGUGAGGAAUAUUGGUCAAUGGACGAGAGUCUGAACCAGCCAAGUCGCGUGCAGGAAGAAUGUUCCCUAUGGAUUGUAAACUGCUUUUGCAGGGGAAUAAAGUGCAUCACGUGUGAUGUUUUGUAUGUACUCUGCGAAUAAGGAUCGGCUAACUCCGUGCCAGCCGCGGC
rnacentral:rRNA from 1 species